AGGAUGAACGCUGGCGGCGUGCCUAACACAUGCAAGUCGAGCGAUCUUCUUCGGAAGAGAGCGGCGGACGGGUGAGUAACGCGUGGGUAACCUGCCCUGUACACACGGAUAACAUACCGAAAGGUAUGCUAAUACGGGAUAACAUAUGAGAGUCACAUGACUUUUAUAUCAAAGCUUUUGCGGUACAGGAUGGACCCGCGUCUGAUUAGCUAGUUGGUAAGGUAACGGCUUACCAAGGCGACGAUCAGUAGCCGACCUGAGAGGGUGAUCGGCCACACUGGAACUGAGACACGGUCCAGACUCCUACGGGAGGCAGCAGUGGGGAAUAUUGCACAAUGGGCGAAAGCCUGAUGCAGCAACGCCGCGUGAGCGAUGAAGGCCUUCGGGUCGUAAAGCUCUGUCCUCAAGGAAGAUAAUGACGGUACUUGAGGAGGAAGCCCCGGCUAACUACGUGCCAGCAGCCGCAGUAAUACGUAGGGGGCUAGCGUUAUCCGGAAUUACUGGGCGUAAAGGGUGCGUAGGCGGUCUUUCAAGCCAGAAGUGAAAGGCUACGGCUCAACCGUAGUAAGCUUUUGGAACUGUAGGACUUGAGUGCAGGAGAGGAGAGUAGAAUUCCUAGUGUAGCGGUGAAAUGCGUAGAUAUUAGGAGGAAUACCAGUAGCGAAGGCGGCUCUCUGGACUGUAACUGACGCUGAGGCACGAAAGCGUGGGGAGCGAACAGGAUUAGAUACCCUGGUAGUCCACGCCGUAAACGAUGAGUACUAGGUGUCGGGGGUUACCCCCCUCGGUGCCGCAGCUAACGCAUUAAGUACUCCGCCUGGGAAGUACGCUCGCGAGAGUGAAA
rnacentral:rRNA from 1 species